GAUCAACGCUGGCGGCGUGCCUGACGCAUGUAAGUCGCACGCAGGACCUUCGGGUCCUGAGUGGCGAACGGCUGAGGAACACGUACGAACCUGCCCGCGCGUGGGGAAUAACGCGCCGAAAGGCGUGCUAAUACCGCGUACGCUCAUCCCCUUUGGGGAUGAGGAAAGCCGCAAGGCGCGCGCGGAGGGGCGUGCGGCCCAUCAGGUCGUUGGUGGGGUAACGGCUCACCAAGCCUUUGACGGGUAGCUGGUCUGUGAGGACGAUCAGCCAGACUGGGACUGAGACACGGCCCAGACACCUACGGGUGGCAGCAGCGAGGAAUCUUCUACAAUGGGCUAACGCCCGAUAGAGCAACGCCGCGUGGA
rnacentral:rRNA from 1 species